rnacentral:rRNA from 1 species
CACGGGGGGAGCAAGCGUUGUUCGGAAUUACUGGGCGUAAAGGGCGUGUAGGCGGUCAGGUAAGUGGGAUGUGAAAUCCUCCGGCUCACCCGGAGACCUGCAUCCCAAACUGUCUGGCUUGAGUAUGGGAGAGGAUGAGGGAAUUCCUGGUGUAGCGGUGAAAUGCGUAGAUAUCAGGAGGAACACCGGUGGCGAAAGCACUCAUCUGGCCCAAUACUGACGCUGAGGCGCGAAAGCUAGGGGAGCAAACGGG